UGAUUCUGAGAGCAUGUUUUAGAUGGUGGUUUAAAUUUUUGCUUUGUUCUGCCUCUAGACAGCCGCCACCACCACUUUGUCCAAAUCUGAUGGCUCAGGCUGUAGCAUCUGCGUGAAUCUCCCCGUACAAUUGGACUCCGCAAUGUUUUCCAAAUAAACUCCAAACUCCGAAGGUGCAGCUGAAAAGUUAGAAUCUGAGGCAAUCAAAUCCAAUCCAGGGAAGAGAUUGGAUAGCUUCUGAGGUGUGGCUAUGAUCUGCUCUGACAAUUCCAAAUGGAGAUGAUACUGAAGAAGAUUUGCAGAGCGGUUUGGGAUAUCUGUGCAGCUCACAUAAGAAGAGAAUUGCAACUCUCGGGCUGAGAGGUAACUGGGAUUUGUUCUUCUGGGUCAGUUUUUAAGCUGCCAAUGCCUAAACCUCCAACAAAAUGGAAACUUUUUCCAAAACAAAAGGUUGAACAAAAAUAUCUCCAGGAUCCCUAUUUUUUUAAUGGCGCUGUUAAGGUUUUUGUCAAUUGUUAUUUACAAAGGUUGUGACUCUUCGUGCUGGCACCAAAAUAAAGUUUGUAGAAGGUUGUUUACUGACGAUAAAAGGAUUGGAGGGGAUUGGGAGGCAGAUGAGUGAGACUUCUGAUGGAUACAUAGAAAUAAAUGGUCUCUCACAUCUUGAACCAGAUUACUCUGGGUUUUUGGCAGGACGAGGUUGAUGGUAAGAUUGUUGUGGCUGGUAUUUCAACAACCUGGGCUCUUGAAAGUGAGCAUGCAUCUACGCAUUUGCAUGAAUGGAUUGAUCUCAUAUUCGGGUAUAAGCAGCGUGGCAAAGAAGCUAUAAAAAAAAAAAAUUUCUUUUACAUUACCUAUGAAGGGACACUGGAUAUUCAUAAGAUCUCAGACCCAGUACAACAUCGUGCAACACGGGACCAGAUUGCAUACUUUGGGCAAACGGCAUCCCAACUGCUUACCUUCCCUCACUUGAAGAGGUUGCCAUUAACAGAUGUUCUUCAUGUACAGUGAUUCAUGAACAGUGGAAGGUGUCGUUGCUGUAACACGAAACCCAGCUUUCGGCUAUCCGCUGGCAUCUCUCUGAAGCAUGGGGAUCAGUUAAUGGUAUCUAACAUACUGCUAAGGCCGCUCCAUCAUCUACUAGCUUGAGAAAUGAUGAAAGCGCCGAUAAAAGAGAGAAAUUGGCCGCAAAAUCCAAUGCGAAAGUAACCGAGAGCACACUCCCAACCAAAGUCAAAGAAUUAUUGGCGAGAGUAUCAAAAAAGCAGCGGUUGUGGAUCUAAUUAAAUCUGAGAAGGUUCUGAAAGCAGCCCAAGAACAUGGCGUCGGAACUGCAGUCCAGUGGCUGUAUAGAGGAAAAGGACAACGCAUGCUCUCUCUCUCUCUCUCUCUCAUAGUAGCUCCGUGUUCCUCUCCCCCCAAACCUAAUGGAUUCGGCCCAAUUCGGAGCUCCAGACACUUUGACUAGAGAUAGAGUUCACUAGGUAGACGUGGGCUGAGGAGAACUUCCAACGGAGUUGCUUUCGGAAUGGUUAAACCAGGACUCUCAGUCAAAUCAACAGACUGACCCGACGCCGUUUCAAUCUUAAACCCGUGCAGCAGUCGGGCAAGCGUUAGGUGAAGAACCUGCAUGGCAAACGACACACCAGGGCACGACCGUCUGCCAAAGCCAAACGGCAUCAGAUUAAAUUGUUGCCCUCUGACGUCGACAUGGCUAUGGCUUUCCAAGAACCUCUCAGGAACAAAAGCAGAUGGGUUCUCCCAAACCCUUGGAUCCCUUUGAAUCUUCCACACAUUGACCACUAGCCGGGUGCCGGCUGGCACGCGGUACCCUGCUACGGUACAGUCUUCCAGAGCUUCUCUCGGUCCCAAAAGGGGCCCAGCCGGGUACAGACGCAGAGUUUCCUUGAUUAUGGCUUGGAGAUAUACCAAGUUUGUGAUGUCGGAUUCUUCAACCUGUCUUUCUGUGCCGACGUGGAGGUCUAGCUCUUCUUGUGCCAUUUUCAUGGCAUCGGGAUUGUUUAAGAGUAAUGAGAUUGCCCAUGUAAGAGUUCCUGCUGUCGUGUCACUCCCACCAAGUAUAAGCGCCUACAAUUUCCAUGUUUAAUUUGUUUGAAUUAAAGUAAUUAAAUGACAAAUAAUCAAUUUUGAACAUUAAAAAGUAUGAGUUCAUUA